CCGCCCUUAGCUCAAUGGUUAGAGCACAGAGCUUAUACCUCUGGGGUUCCUGGUUCGAGUCCAGGAGGGCGGA
rnacentral:tRNA from 1 species